rfam:Neotoma lepida isolate 417 scaffold_1700, whole genome shotgun sequence.
GGUGGUAUAGCUUAGUGGUAGAGUAUUUGCCCAGUAUGCAUGAGACCCUAGGUUCAACCCUUAGUACUGCAA